rnacentral:rRNA from 1 species
ACCUGGAUUUGGCCCAAAGAGGGUGAAAGGCCCGUGCGAAUGGAUGUCACAGACAUGUGAGGCGAUUCACCAGGUCGACCUUCGAGUCGGGUUGUUUGAGAAUGCAGCCCUAAGUGGGUGGUAAACUCCAUCCAAGGCUAAAUACAGACACGAGUCCGAUAGCGAACAAGUACCGUGAGGGAAAGUUGAAAAGUACUCUGAAGAGAGAGUAAACAGUACGUGAAACCGUAUGGAGGUAAACGGGUGGCGUCAAGCUGCAAGCCCAGAGGAUUCAGUUGGUCACUGUGUGUGUAUGCCUGUGUACUUCGGUCGGUGAUAGCUUGGACAGUCCACCGGUAAACGGAGGGCCCGGCCGUCAGGUUGGGAUGCACGUUCCRCCAGGUUGGUGGUGUGCGCUGUUCGACUAUUGGACCGGGUGGCCAAUGCACUUCCUCUGAUAUGGUGAACACCACGAUCGGUGGAACUGCCAGUCUGGUGUAGCCAAGUUGCGCCUAGUUUGGCACUUGUGUCAACUGGGUGUGAUCACAGGCAAGUCUGGUGGACGGUGGGCUCGCCCAUGUUAUCGGUCACCGCUUGUCAACGGGUCUGCUUGUGCUGGUUGCAAUCCACGCGCAGGUGGCCUGGUGGGCUACACUGGUAUGAAUAACUGUGCAGGGCACCGGUGUUAGCGGUCUCAAAUCCGGACGGCGCGGAAAUUGCAAUUGCUGGUAUAUAGGUGCGUGGUCGCGGCCUGUCGGUGGCUGGGUCUGAUCGUCGUGUUGCCUGCGCAAAGUGGGUCCGGCGGUGGCCUGGCUCCGGUCGGAGUCGUGGGUCGCGUUCCUGGCGUCGCCUGGUGUGGACCGUACAAUCUGUGGUGUAGUGGUAGACGAGCUACCCGACCCGUCUUGAAACACGGACCAAGGAGUUCAACGUGC